CAGUGAUCAGGAAGACAAAGCUGAUUGACUUCCAGCUGCAUCUGAGCCACCGUAGUUACUGCAGAUGUCACAUUUAGCACUGGAUUGUGAAAUGCUCGAAAACUGGAACCAUAGGAGCAUUAUUUAAUGCUAAGUGUUAUCCACAUCAUAUCUGAAGCUUGAACAUGCCAGGAAAACAUCCUUCACAUUCUGCAACUAAUCUAUCUGAGCUUUCAGGAUCAAUCGUGAAUUGGCUGGGGAACUGUUUAUAUUCAUAUUGUAAACCUGUGUUACUGUUGUGUCCUUCUUGUGAACCAGACCCCUCGUGCUUGUGUCCUGAAAUAGUAAAGAAGGUGGAAAAAAAUGAAUCAUAA
rnacentral:lncRNA from 1 species